rnacentral:hammerhead_ribozyme from 1 species
AUCCUACUGACGAGUCCCAAGUAGGACUAAACGCGUAUCCUGGAU